rnacentral:rRNA from 1 species
CCUGGCUUAGGAUGAACGCUAGCGGCAGGCUUAACACAUGCAAGUCGAGGGGCAUCGGGAGUAGCAAUACUUGCCGGCGACCGGCGCAAGGGUGCGUAACGCGUGAGCAACAUGCCCGUAUCAGGGGGGAUAAUCCAUGGAAACGUGGUCUAAUACCCCAUAGUAAUUAUGUAAGGCAUCUUAUAUAAUUUAAAGCUUUGGUGGAUACGGAUUGGCUCGCGUGACAUUAGCUGGAUGGUAAGGUAACGGCUUACCAUGGCUACGAUGUCUAGGGGUUCUGAGAGGAAGGUCCCCCACACUGGAACUGAGACACGGUCCAGACUCCUACGGGAGGCAGCAGUGAGGAAUAUUGGACAAUGGAUGGAAAUCUGAUCCAGCCAUGCCGCGUGCAGGAAGAACCGGCCCUAUGGGUUGUAAACUGCUUUUGUAUGGGAGCAAUAAGGGCUACGUGUAGUCCGAUGAGAGUACCAUACGAAUAAGCACCGGCUAACUCCGUGCCAGCAGCAGC